rnacentral:rRNA from 1 species
CGGCGGACGGGUGAGUAACACGUGGGUAACCUACCUAUAAGACUGGCAUAACUUCGGGAAACCGGAGCUAAUACCGGAUAAUAUUUCGAACCGCAUGGUUCGAUAGUGAAAGAUGGUUUUGCUAUCACUUAUAGAUGGACCUGCGCCGUAUUAGCUAGUUGGUAAGGUAACGGCUUACCAAGGCGACGAUACGUAGCCGACCUGAGAGGGUGAUCGGCCACACUGGAACUGAGACACGGUCCAGACUCCUACGGGAGGCAGCAGCG